rnacentral:rRNA from 1 species
AGAACGAACGCUGGCGGCAGGCCUCAAACAUGCAAGUCUAGGGGGUGUAGCAAUACAUCACCGGCGGACGGGUGCGUAACACGUGGGAAUGUACCUACUGGUUCGGAACAACGCAGGGAAACUUGCGCUAAUACCGAAUAAGCCCGAAAGGGGAAAGAUUUAUCGCCAGUAGAUCAGCCCGCGUAGGAUUAGCUAGUUGGUGGGGUAAUGGCCCACCAAGGCUCCGAUCCUUAGCUGUUCUGAGAGGAAGAUCAGCCACACUGGGACUGAGACACGGCCCAGACUCCUACGGGAGGCAGCAGUUGGGAAUCUUGGACAAUGGGGGAAACCCUGAUCCAGCCAUGCCGCGUGAGUGAUGAAGGCCUUCGGGUUGUAAAGUCCUUUUGGCAGGAAAAUUUGAUUGUACCUGCAGAAUAAGAGGUUGCUAACUCUGUGCCAGCAGCCGC